UUAUUUUAUAAAGGCAGUAAUCAUGUCCGUAUGUUUCUACUAACAGCAGGCCAACUUGGAUAGUUUACUUUUGACCAAACUGAAAAAUCAGAUGGAGAUGGUUUUUCCAUCUUUAAUUAAUUCUCUGUCAGACAGACAGCGAUGGCUGCAUGAACUAAUCAGCUUUAGUCAGCAUUUUCUUCCAGAGGUGAUUAUGAGAGCCACAACUCUAAUUCUUGGAUUCUAGAACCAAUUGGUCAUGCCUUAAAUAUGGACAUGACUUCCAGUGAUGCAGGCUGCAAGCUUUCUACACUCUUUCAUCCUAGAUGACUCUCAUCCAUGUCCUACUAUAAAUUCUCCAUGAGAGGUACACCAACAGGUUGGAAGAUUUUUCUAGAUCUCUUAGUAAAGCAAAACUGCCAAUAGAAUACCUGGACUCAUCAUUUUCUAAAAGGAAAUAAAAUUAAAGAUUUCAGCUGUAAAAUUAUAAAU
rnacentral:lncRNA from 1 species